UCCGAUAUUGGAGGCAUUGCCUGCCCAGUGACAACUGUUUAACGGCCGCGGUAUCCUGACCGUGCAAAGGUAGCAUAAUCAUUUGUUCUCUAAAUAAGGACUUGUAUGAAUGGCCGCACGAGGGUUUUACUGUCUCUUACUUCCAAUCAGUGAAAUUGACCUUCCCGUGAAGAGGCGGGAAUGCACAAAUAAGACGAGAAGACCCUAUGGAGCUUUAACUAACCAACCCAAAGAGAAUAGAUUUAACCAUUAAGGAAUAACAACAAUCUCCAUGAGUUGGUAGUUUCGGUUGGGGUGACCUCGGAGAAUAAAAAAUCCUCCGAGCGAUUUUAAAGACUAGACCCACAAGUCAAAUCACUCUAUCGCUCAUUGAUCCAAAAACUUGAUCAACGGAACAAGUUACCCUAGGGAUAACAGCGCAAUCCUAUUCAAGAGUCCAUAUCGACAAUAGGGUUUACGACCUCGAUGUUGGAUCAGGACAUCCUGAUGGUGCAACCGCUAUCAAAGGUUCGUUUGUUCAACGAUUAAAGUCCUACGUGAUCUGAGUUCAGACCGGA
rnacentral:rRNA from 1 species